CUCUCUCUUGAUUUCCUUACCUCCUUCUCAGAUUUCUCUCCUUUCUCUCUCGGAUCUCUCUUUCCUUCCCUCCUUGCAUCUCUCUUUCCUUCCAUCUUGGAUUUCUCGCGCCUUCUCUCUGCUUUUCUCCGAGAAACGCCGCACCGAAUCAUCCUAGAGAAACUCCGCACCGAAUCGUUUCUAUCACUCUGCAUCAACUUUCAAGAGGUAACUUCACAACACAAUGAAAGGAGCUAUCAUCCAGUGAAGGAAUCUCACAAGGAUAGGGAGUGGAAAAUGGAUCAAAAGAAGAUCCCAACAAUCAGCGACACUUAUAUUAGAUCAAUGGCCCCAUUAGAACUCAUGAACUUUAACGUUAGAUGUAUUUUGGAAAUCGUAUUUAUAUCUGGACUAAAUCUUGUCAGUACAAUGUAAGCUUUGCUCUUUCCAUUCUCCAUUUGGAAAUUGUAUUUGUAUUUGCAAAACCAUGUGUCUUGGAUCAAAGUAGUUUCAUGAUUAUCUGUAUUAGCUUUAGAUGGGUUGAUCUAUCAGGGAAUGUACUAGCAAGAGCACCAUAUAUAUAUAUAUAUAUAUAUAUUAU